UAGUACAAUCCUACCUCCCCAUACCUUUAGCCCCACCGAAUUUUUUUUGCAAAAGAAAAUAGUGUUAUUUCGAAAGUUUUCAGGUUUUUAAAGACAUGUUUUGAGUAAGGAUGCGGUGACUUGGGAGAACUUUGUGAAACAUCAGUAUCUAUUUUAGCACCAUAAGCUUCGUAAAUAUAGGAAUCAUUCCCGAAACCCCAUAUACCAUGGCCUUAAUCAUCAUUUCCGUAUAAGUCCUC
rnacentral:lncRNA from 1 species